UACGUAGGGGGCAAGCGUUGUCCGGAAUCAUUGGGCGUAAAGAGCGUGUAGGCGGCCAGAAAAGUCCGCUGUGAAAACUCGAGGCUCAACUUCGAGCUGUCGGUGGAAACUUUCUGGCUAGAGUCCGGAAGAGGAGAAUGGAAUUCCUGGUGUAGCGGUGAAAUGCGCAGAUAUCAGGAAGAACACCGGUGGCGAAAGCGGUUUUCUAGCUUAUUCCUGACGCUGAGGCGCGAAAGCAAGGGGAUCAAACAGG
rnacentral:rRNA from 1 species